AUUGAACGCUGGCGGCAGGCUUAACACAUGCAAGUCGAGCGAGCGGCGGACGGGUGAGUAAUGUCUGGCAAACUGCCUGAAGGAGGGGGAUCACUCCUGGAAACGGUAGCUACGACCGCAUACCAUAACAUGUGCCCAGGUGGGAGUAGCUAGUAGGUGGGGUAACGGCCCACCUCGGCGACGAUCCCUAGCUGGUCUGAGAGGAUGACCAGCCACACUGGAACUGAGACACGGUCCAGACUCCUACGGGAGGCAGCAGUGGGGAAUAUUGCACAAUGGGCGCAAGCCUGAUGCAGCCAUGCCGCGUGUGUGAAGAAGGCCUUCGGGUUGUAAAGCACUUUCAGCGGGGAGGCGUUACCCGCAGAAGAAGCACCGGCUAACUCCGUGCCAGCAGCCGCGGUAAUAC
rnacentral:rRNA from 1 species